rnacentral:rRNA from 1 species
AUUCCUGUACCACCGUAAUCCGCUAUGAGCGAUGGGGUGACGCAGGAGGGUAGUGACGCGGGGCGAUGGAAUGCCCCGUCCAAGCAGUGAGGCUGGUGUGUAGGCAAAUCCGCACACCGUAAGGCUGGGCUGUGAUGGGGAGGGAAAAUUUACAGUACCGAAGGUCAUGAUCUCACACUGCCGAGAAAAGCCUCUAGCCAGGAGAAGGUGCCCGUACCGCAAACCGAC